GGGAAGUUGGCUCAGUGGUAGAGUGCUUGCCUUGCAUGCAUGAGGCCCUGGGCUCGAUUCCUCAGCAUCACA
rfam:Dipodomys ordii contig_33781, whole genome shotgun sequence.